UGACGAGCAUGGUGUUGAAAGGAAAGUUCACUGAUGUGUGUUAGUGCGUGUUCUGUGUGUUAUUGUGUGUUCUGUAAGCAGGGUCUGUGUGUGAGAGUGUGUGAGGGUGUGUUAGGGUGUGUGUUAGAGUGUGUGUGUGUGUGUGUGUGUGUGUGUGUGAGUGUGAGUGUGUGUGUGUGUUACACCAUGCCCAUUUCUUCAGGUGCUACAAGGAGUCAGAGACAAGGCUCCUACUUAAAGAGGUACCUCGGGAGUCUUUCUCAGGAGAAGAGGAAGGUUCUGGAGAACUCUCUGGAGGCUGCAUGUGUUCCUGAAGCAGCUGCAGAGAAAGUGGAAGAUCUGCUGAAAGUUUCAGGUGUGAAGAAGGAAAAACACUCAGAGGAGGAUCAGAGUGGAGAAGGAGAAAAAACAGUUUCCAAAAAGUCAUCAACAUGCACCAUGUUAUAACACACACACACACACACACACACACAGACACACACACAUUUUAGUUAGUUAUUGGUAUUCAGUAGUGCUGGAGCAGUUCUGAGUCCUAGUGAAGUCAUUGUGAGCUGAAGAUAUUUGAGCUUUUAGCUCAGUGGAGUUCAUUCAUUAGAGUAUAAAGGGCUGUGUGUUUAGAGAUGAAGCAGUGCUGCAGUUCCACCUGUGACACGUGGCUGGGGUUAAUUACUGCAAAAUAAAUACAGAGUCCUGUUUUAGUGAUUCUGUGAAUACUUCAAUCAUUUCAACAUGAUUUCCUCAUAUGAACUCUGCAAGAGCUUUAGCUAAUCUCCCUGUAAUUUACACACACACACAC